rnacentral:rRNA from 1 species
CCUACUGGUGGCAGCAGUGAGGAAUAUUGGUCAAUGGGCGGAAGCCUGAACCAGCCAAGUAGCGUGCAGGAUGACGGCCCUACGGGUUGUAAACUGCUUUUAUACGGGAAUAACGCGCCUUAUGUGUAGGGCUUUGCAUGUACCGUAUGAAUAAGGACCGGCUAAUUCCGUGCCAGCAGCCGCGGUAAUACGGAGGGUCCGCGCGUUAUCCGGAUUUAUUGGGUUUAAAGGGAGCGUAGGCCGGAUGUCAAGCGUGCUGUGAAAGGUCCGGGCUCAACCCUGGAAUUGCAGCGCAGACUGGCGUGCUUGAGUACGCGAAAGGCAGGCGGAAUUCGUGGUGUAGCGGUGAAAUGCUUAGAUAUGACGAAGAACCCCGAUUGCGAAGGCAGCUUGCUGCAGCGGAACUGACGCUGAUGCUCGAAAGCGCGGGUAUCGAACAGGAUUAGAUACCCUUGUAGUC